rnacentral:sRNA from 1 species
GCCAGGCAUGGUGGCACAUGCCUGUAAUCCCAGUGACUUGGGAGGCUAAGAUAGGAGGAUCACAAAUUCAAAGCCAGCCUCAGCAACUUAGUGAGGCCCUAAGCAACUUAGACUCUAUCUCUA